GUAACAAUAAUGUUAAAAAAUCUACAGUGAUUAAUUUCAAACAUGCCUUUUUUUCUACCAAUCAUUUGUAUAUUUCCUGAUGUGUAAUAACCUUUUUUUAAUGUUAGUAGCUAUUACGUUGUGUCCUCGCUCUAUUUUGAGUGGGAAUUAACCAUGUCUCGUUUAAACUUAUCUGCAAAGUAUAAAGAUGUUGUUUUUUAAUUGUAUUAAUUUCUUUUUGUUCCUGCAGAAUUCCAUAUAUUCAGAUGUGGCCUACCCUGGAGAGACACAUCUCACUUUCAUUGCCCGAACUGUUUUUCAGCCAUUGACAGAAGGGACAGGUUUGUUAAUCAUUUGGUUAACCAGACAAUGACUUUCAAUAUGGUGUCCAGCUGUGCAUCAGCCCAGCCACCUGUCCAGCCAGCAGCUACCAACAGGAAACAGGAAACAGUCAUGUAGUCCACACCUGGUUUCCACCACUUUCCCUUGACCCAGCACUACACCUACCAGUACAUAUUUUUGCUUUGGAUGUCAGAUUCACCACAAUAUAUUAAUUUUGUGAUUUAAUUGGAAGCCGCAGGCACAAGAUCUGGACUGGGUUCUGAUUCCUGUGUGGCGUCCUGGACAUUGGACACUAUGCAGAAGUCUGUCUUCAGAUGUCAUCUGGACCAUGGACAGAAUUUGUUGGCAAUGAUGUUAAGGGAUUGCCUAAACAAGGACUGUCCAACAACUGUGUAAUGUUUGUAGUGAUGUAUGCACUACUUUGUGAUGGGAGCAUCAUUUGAUUUCAGCGAGAAUGAUAUGAUGACAAUACGAAGAUGGUGGUCUCUCACUCUCUGGAGAAACUUCCCUGUGAAUCAUGAUCAAAAAGCUUCUACUUCCUGGUUCUGUUGCUCUGAAG